AUGGGCCCUCUUGUGGUAGACCCACAUGUCAUCGGUGUAACUAUUUACACUCUGAAGGACGCAGACGCAAAUGCGCUGGCCUUCAUGAUUCCAGGACCUGGAAUCAUACCAGCCGAUGGGUGGUGGUUUAUCGCUCGUUUAGCUGAUGGCGGUCAUUUGGUGCUCAUUCGCACGUACCAAAUUGACCAAACCAUUACAUCAAACCACGUGCAGUACAAUGCAUGGGGCUUUGAAGCACUCCUCUGGUUUGAAGGACAUAUACCUUUCUGGGAUCAAGUGCAUCCUAACUCACCUAAGCAGGAUUCGAAGACGGAUUGGCCGGCGCUGCCGGCUGGCGUCAAGUUCGAUCCCACGAAUCAGGAGCGGAUCGAGCACCUUGAGGCCAAAGUGAGUGCUGACAGCGCGAGAUCUCACCCUCUCAUCGAUUUGUUCAUACCAACCAUCGACAGCGAGCACGGCAUAUGCUACACCCAUCCUGAGAAACUUCCAGGUAUCACACUGAGUGGCCUAAGCAAGCAUUUCUUCCAGUGCAAUUCCAGGGUGUUCAAAAGGGGCACGUGGACACGUCGCAAGAUACAGUCGAAGUGCGGCAUGCACGCGAUGUGGUACAACACUAGAAAUACCUUGCCGGUGAUGGUCAACGGCUGGCAGACGGGCAGCAAAAAGGUUCUGGUGCUGCACACCAAGAAGAACUUCGACCAGCAGAGGACCAACUGGGUGAUGCACCAGUACCACCUCGGGGACCUGGAGCAAGAGAAGGAGCGGGAGCUGGUCCUCUGCAAGAUUUUCUACCAGACGAACACUAGGGCCAGGAGUAAAAAGAUUAUAACUCGAGCAAGUUUCAACUGGGUUGUAGACUGCCCAGGCUUGGUUUUGUUUUUAACAGGCCCAACCCAUGAUGACAAUGGGGCAAAAAGAUCCAGCAGGUAA
rnacentral:rRNA from 1 species